AGAGUUGUUAAUGAAACAAAAAUUUUAAUUUUUAUGAAGAGGUGGAAUUCGAACAUAAGAAGUUAUUUUAUUAUUUUUAGUAUAUUUGAUGCUUCGAAAGUUAUUAACGAGACCGGGAUUAGAUACCCCGUUAUUUUUUCUGUAAAUUUUGGUUACUUUGAUUAACUUACCUGAGUAUUACGGGUUAAUAAAAUGUAUGUAUAAUGAUAAUGCAUUGAUUUAUUUAGUAACUUAAAACUCAAAAAACUUGGCGGUGCUUUAUUUCCUCCCAGGGGAACCUGUCCUAUAAUCGAUAGUCCACGAUUUAUCUUACUUUUUUUUGAAAUGUUAUAAUAUAAACAUAUCAGUUUGUAUACCGUCGUCGUCAGAUUACCUUUAAAAGUUAAGAAGUUGUCGGGUAAAAUUGAUGAAACUUUUAUAUUUAUGUGAAAUAUAAAAAUUUGUUUUUUUAGAUGUCAGAUCAAGGUGCAGCUUAUGAAAAAGUAGAGAUGGGUUACAAUAUAUAUUUUGUAUUAUGGAUAUUAGUUUGCAACAAUUAAAUGAAAGUGGACUUGGAAGUAAUGUUUUGCAAGUGCAGAUUAGAAAGUGCAAAUGAAUUAUGGUACUAAAGCGCGC
rnacentral:rRNA from 1 species